rnacentral:rRNA from 1 species
AUUGAACGCUAGCGGGAUGCCUUACACAUGCAAGUCGAACGGAGUGGCGAACGGGUGAGUAAUGUAUCGGACCGUGCCCAGUCGCGGGGGAUAACUACGCGAAAUCGUAGCUAAUACCGCAUACUAUUGGAGCGGCCGAUAUCGGAGUUGCUAGUUGGUGGGGUAACGGCUAACCCAGGCGACGAUCCGUCGCUGGUUUGAGAGGACGACAAGCAACACUGGGAUUGAGACACGGCCCAGACUCCUACGGGAGGCAGAAGUGGGGAAUUUUGGACAAGGGGGGAAACCCUGAUCCAGCCAUCCCGCGUGUGCGAUGAAGGCCUUCGGGUUGUAAAGCACUUUUGGCAGGAAAGCGGUACCUGCAGAAUAAGCACCGGCUAACUACGUGCCAGCAGCCGCGGUAAUUC